GUAACUCUGGAGAAGCCCAUUCAAUUGGGGACCGAAGGUGCAAGGCUAGUGAUGCCGAAUCUCUCAGGUAAAAGUACGGAGCUA
rnacentral:ncRNA from 1 species